ACUUACCUCAGGUGAGGAAAGGAGUGCAGUUCAAUUCUUGCUGUAUCAGCUGUAGUUGCUGUUGGAGUGUUUGAUAACCGAAUAACGCAUUUGUAAUGGCUGAUGGCAAUGACUGUCCGUGCUGUAAUUUACCAGAAUGGCUGGAGAUCUUGAUGCGAUUUUUACACUCUGUGUCAAAAUCUAAAUUACUCUGCGACCAAGCCACCCCAAAUCUGUGUUUGUCUGUCAGCUGAAAUGGAUCCACUUGUGGUAUGUACGGAGAAUGAAGUGUGCAGACCAGACCAUGUAUUCUGCAGAGCAGGCUGGAAGCCGUACAUCCAGGAUGUACUGCUGAGGGCUUGAUGGAAGUCAGUGCAAGAGAGACACAAAAAUAUUUCCUGAAUCCAGAGGCGCCAAUUUUUGUGAGUUAAAAUGUGGCAUCUGUCGGUGUAAAAAGGAUUUUGGAUUCUCCAUCCACACUGAAGCAGAGAGGAUGUGGCUGAAUCUAUACAUCAUGAGGGAUUUUUGCCACCUUAUCUAAUGCACAUGUGAAAGGGAAGUACUGACGAAGGAUGUUAAUCCUGAACACAUACGUGACAGUGCAAGCUAUUGACAUGUCUGGUUCUUGCCCCAAAGACCCAGUGUCAAAAACUCCAUUCCCUGUGCUACCCUGAAUUGGAUACAUGGAGAGCUCUCAAUCUUGCAUCGUGUAAUGGAGUAAUUUUCCAACAAUGUAGUGGUACGAAAAUCGUAUUUUUGGCCAAUACUGUACAUUCCUGGCUAAUGUACCAAUGGCUUCAUGGAAAGGGAAGUAUUAAAUUUGAGAGGCAAGUGCUACUAAGGUCUGAAUACAUUACGUUUACAACAGGUUGCAAAGAUAGGUAUCAAGAGACAGUUUGAAAGAUCUUUCAGAUGAUGUUAGCAGAUUCAUAAUUAAGAUAUGGUAUGGUACUCAAAUAUUGACGUAUACACUCAUAAUUUGCUAAAUGCAAGUUAUUAAGCAUAUUAUACUACUUCAAUUCUUGUGAUACAUAUUUGACUUUAUCCAUAAAAUGUAUGU